rnacentral:misc_RNA from 1 species
GAUGAAGAACGCAGCGAAAUGCGAUAAGUAAUGUGAAUUGCAGAAUUCAGUGAAUCAUCGAAUCUUUGAACGCACAUUGCGCCCAUUAGCAUUCUAGUGGGCAUGCCUGUUCGAGCGUCAUUUCAACCCUUAAGCCCUGUUGCUUAGCGUUGGGAGCCUACAGUACUGUAGCUCCCCAAAGUUAGUGGCGGAGUCGGUUUCACACUCUAGACGUAGUAAUUUUUUCACGUCUGUAGUUGAGCCGGUCCCCUGCCGUAAAACACCCAAUUUAUCAAGGUUGACCUCGGAUCAGGUAGGAAUACCCGCUGAACUUAAGCAUAUCAAUAAGCGGAGGA